rnacentral:rRNA from 1 species
GAUUAAGUUAUUAAGGGCGCACGGUGGAUGCCUUGGCACUAGAAGCCGAUGAAGGACGUUACUAACGACGAUAUGCUUUGGGUAGCUGUAAGUAAGCGUUGAUCCAGAGAUUUCCGAAUGGGGGAACCCAGCACAAGUUAUGUUGUGUUAUCGACAAGUGAAUUCAUAGCUUGUCAGAAGGCAGACCCGGAGAACUGAAACAUCUUAGUACCCGGAGGAAGAGAAAGAAAAUUCGAUUCCCUGAGUAGCGGCGAGCGAAACGGGAAGAGCCCAAACCAAUAAGCUUGCUUAUUGGGGUUGUAGGACACUCUAUACGGAGUUACAAAGGAAUAUAUUAAACGAAUCAUCUGGAAAGUUGAAUCAAAGAAGGUAAUAAUCCUGUAGUUGAAAAUAUAUUCUCUCUUGAGUGGAUCCUGAGUACGACGGAGCACGUGAAAUUCCGUCGGAAUCUGGGAGGACCAUCUCCUAAGGCUAAAUACUCUCUAGUGACCGAUAGUGAACCAGUACCGUGAGGGAAAGGUGAAAAGUACCCCGGAAGGGGAGUGAAAAAGAACUUGAAACCGUGUGCUUACAAGUAGUCAGAGCCCGUUAAUGGGUGAUGGCGUGCCUUUUGUAGAAUGAACCGGCGAGUUACGAUCUGAUGCAAGGUUAAGCAGAAAAUGUGGAGCCGUAGCGAAAGCGAGUCUGAAUAGGGCGUAUAGUAUUUGGUCGUAGACCCGAAACCAGGUGAUCUACCCAUGGUCAGGUUGAAGUUCAGGUAACACUGAAUGGAGGACCGAACCGACUUACGUUGAAAAGUGAGCGGAUGAACUGUGGGUAGCGGAGAAAUUCCAAUCGAACUUGGAGAUAGCUGGUUCUCUCCGAAAUAGCUUUAGGGCUAGCCUCAAGUGAUGAUUAUUGGAGGUAGAGCACUGUUUGGACGAGGGGCCCCUCUCGGGUUACCGAAUUCAGACAAACUCCGAAUGCCAAUUAAUUUAACUUGGGAGUCAGAACAUGGGUGAUAAGGUCCGUGUUCGAAAGGGAAACAGCCCAGACCACCAGCUAAGGUCCCAAAAUAUAUGUUAAGUGGAAAAGGAUGUGGCGUUGCCCAGACAACUAGGAUGUUGGCUUAGAAGCAGCCAUCAUUUAAAGAGUGCGUAAUAGCUCACUAGUCGAGUGACACUGCGCCGAAAAUGUACCGGGGCUAAACAUAUUACCGAAGCUGUGGAUUGUCCUUUGGACAAUGGUAGGAGAGCGUUCUAAGGGCGUUGAAGCAUGAUCGCAAGGACAUGUGGAGCGCUUAGAAGUGAGAAUGCCGGUGUGAGUAGCGAAAGACGGGUGAGAAUCCCGUCCACCGAUUGACUAAGGUUUCCAGAGGAAGGCUCGUCCGCUCUGGGUUAGUCGGGUCCUAAGCUGAGGCCGACAGGCGUAGGCGAUGGAUAACAGGUUGAUAUUCCUGUACCACCUAUAAUCGUUUUAAUCGAUGGGGGGACGCAGUAGGAUAGGCGAAGCGUACGAUUGGAUUGUACGUCUAAGCAGUGAGAUUGAGUGUUAGGCAAAUCCGGCACUCUUAAGAUUGAGCUGUGAUGGGGAGAGGAAAUUGUUUCCUCGAGUCGUUGAUUUCACACUGCCGAGAAAAGCCUCUAGAUAGAGAUUAGGUGCCCGUACCGCAAACCGACACAGGUAGUCAAGAUGAGAAUUCUAAGGUGAGCGAGCGAACUCUCGUUAAGGAACUCGGCAAAAUGACCCCGUAACUUCGGGAGAAGGGGUGCUCUUUAGGGUGCAAGCCCAGAAGAGCCGCAGUGAAUAGGCCCAAGCGACUGUUUAUCAAAAACACAGGUCUCUGCUAAACCGUAAGGUGAUGUAUAGGGGCUGACGCCUGCCCGGUGCUGGAAGGUUAAGAGGAGUGGUUAGCUUCUGCGAAGCUACGAAUCGAAGCCCCAGUAAACGGCGGCCGUAACUAUAACGGUCCUAAGGUAGCGAAAUUCCUUGUCGGGUAAGUUCCGACCCG